rnacentral:rRNA from 1 species
UGGAAAACGGCAGGCUAUACAUGCAAGUCGGACGGGAUCCAUCGGAGAGCUUGCUCGAUAUGGUGAGAGUGGCGCAGGGGUGCGUAGCGCGUGCGCAAUCUGCCUCCAUCGGGGGGAUAGCCUCUCAAAAGAGAGAUUAACCCCGCAUAACAUACACAACUCGUGUGUUGCUGAUAUUAUAUAUUUAUAGGGUGGAUAUGGUCUCGCGUGAUUUUAUAUAGGUGGUGGGGUAACGGCUUACCAGGGCGAAUAUGUCUAGGGUCUCUGAGAAGAAAAUCCCCCACUGUGGCACUGACACACGGACCACACUCCUACGGGAGGCAGCAAUAAGGAAUAUUGGUCUGUGGGCAAAACCCUGACCCACCCGUGCCGCGUGCGAGAUGAGUGCCCUAUGGUUUGUAAUGUGCUUUUGCCCGAAAAUAACCCUAUAUACGUGUAUUUAUCUGAGUGCACCGGAAGAAUAGAGAUCGUCUAUCUCCGUGCCCACCCCCGCGGAAAUACAGAAGAUCCGAGCGAUCUCCAUAUUUAUUGGGUUUAGGGGGCGCAUACGCGGUGUGAUGACUCGGGUGAGAAAUACGGUGGCUCACCCAUCACAGUCUCUUUGAUUCUGACGCUCUUGACUCCAUAUGAAGUGCGGAGAAUAACACGAAUAGCGGAGAAGUGCAUAUAUAUGUCAUAGAUCUCAUAGUGCGAGCGCAUCUCACUAAGCUGGUAUUGACGCUGAUGCACGAAAGCGUGGGGAUCGAACAGGAUUAGAUACCCUGGUAGUCCACGCCCUAAACGAUGAUAACUCGAUGUUGGCGAUAGACAGCCAGCGUCCCAGCGAAAGCGUUAAGUUAUCCACCUGGGGAGUACGCCCGCAAGGGUGAAACUCAAAGGAAUUGACGGGGGCCCGCACAAGCGGAGGAGCAUGUGGUUUAAUUCGAUGAUACGCGAGGAACCUUACCCGGGCUUGAAAGUUAGUGAAGGAUGCAGAGACGCAUCCGUCCUUCGGGACACGAAACUAGGUGCUGCAUGGCUGUCGUCAGCUCGUGCCGUGAGGUGUUGGGUUAAGUCCCGCAACGAGCGCAACCCCUAUGUUUAGUUGCCAGCAUGUUAUGGUGGGGACUCUAAACAGACUGCCUGUGCAAACAGUGAGGAAGGUGGGGACGACGUCAAGUCAUCAUGGCCCUUACGUCCGGGGCUACACACGUGCUACAAUGGACGGUACAGCGGGCAGCUAGCUGGCAACAGCAUGCUAAUCUCUAAAAGCCGUUCACAGUUCGGAUCGGGGUCUGCAACUCGACCCCGUGAAGUUGGAUUCGCUAGUAAUCGCGUAUCAGCAAUGACGCGGUGAAUACGUUCCCGGGCCUUGUACACACCGCCCGUCAAGCCAUGAAAGUUGGGGGUACCUAAAGCAUGUUACCGCAAGGAGCGGUCAGGUAAACCCCGAAGA